CUGUUCCCAGGAGACAGGUUCAAGCUUGCCUUUCACCCGUAAGUGAGUUUUAUUCACUGGAAGUCUUCCUAGAACAUUGGCAGACUCAGAGAAUCUGUUCUGAGUGAGCCCUAAGCCGGUGUUUCUGGCCUGAUGCAAAGUUUGUACUGUCUGUAUGCUGCCCAUAAAGUGGAAUUGUCACAAGGUUGAAUAAACGUGAUACCAGGUGGAAGCUCAGAUCUACACGAGGAAUGAAGAAUGCCGGAAAUCAUAAAUAUAUGAGCCACUCAAGGCCUUGAAAUUUAUGUGACUCUCCCAAAGUAUGACCCAGAGCCUAGAUGCUGAACUGCCAGAACCCAUGGACAUUUAGGACUCGAGUAAAGCACAGGACAAUAAGAGCAACCAAGUACGGCCUCGUCCAAGUACAGCUUUGCAGAUUAGCCCUGAGCUAACAUCUGCUGCCAAUCCUCUUCUCUGAAGAAGACUGGCCCUGAGGUUUUCUGCCCUCUUUUCUGGAAGGUGCACAAUGCUCGGCUCUGUGGUUAUUUUCGCCUAACAGCUGUGUUUCCGGUGAGCAGCUGGGAGAUGCUUCUGACUCAGCAGAACUGGAGCAGUAACCGUCAAGAAGCCGCUCAAGCGAGGCUAGAAAUCAAGAAGCAGUUUCCCCCCCCAGUCCCCGUCCUUUCACUUCCCCACCCGUGGGCAUCUUUUGAAAGUCUCACAGAGCACUUCUGAAAAACCGCUUGGACCCGCGUGCUCGAGGCCUGGCUGGAGGUGGGCCCGCAGCUAGGCUUUCCGAAAACAGAUGGAUUCCGGAAAGGACUGUGCCAAACCCGCCGGCUUUGUUUGGAAGGCCCCUCCCAGGAGGCCCCCCCUUCCCCGCGCGGCUUGUAUCUUACAAGUUUCCCACAGGUCUGAGCAGUGAAAGCAGAGGCGGUCAGGACUUCUGUGGUUUUUCAGGGUGGGGCCCAAGUUGCCUUCCCCAGGCCGGGGUGGCUUAGGUUCUGCAGCUCGCCUGUUUUUCAGAGGUGAUGAUUUCGCCCUGGGUCUGGGAGGCGGCUCCAAAUUUCUACCCACUGGCCCUGGAUUCCAGCCCUGACCUCGAGGGGGGCGCUAGAAGUCCUGCCCGCAGCGGGAAGGGAGCAAACCAGAGAGGACCCGGCGUCCUGGAGAGCUGGCCUCUGUGCAUGCUGGUGCCUGCAAAGGGCUCACGGGAGAGGGAGACAGCUGCACCCGGAGCGCCUUGCUGCUGUUCCGAGAAAGAAAGGAACAAAUAAAUUUAGCUCCAACCUACGCAUCCUUCACAGCUGCUUAUUGACCAAACAGAAAGGGGCCUCUCUUUCAACCCUGGCUUCUCAGCUCUGUGCCCAAGGAGGUCUGCCACGGCCCGCACAAGGGGCUUUUCUGGGAGGUAACCGACCCCGGCCGCCUUUAGCUCUGGGCUGGGCGUUGCACAAGAGCUCAGGUUCAAGGUGCGUGGUGCUUUUGGCCAUCCUGAAACAAAAUGGUGGCCGGGAAGCGUUUCCACCCGGGCCUCGCUCAGCUCCUGGAACUUCUCAUGCGCGUCUUUGGGAGGCAGAGCGUGGGGCAGGCUUGAGGGAUGUGUGGCUGCUCCAAGGCCAGCCGAUAGCUCCCUGAGCCAUUAGUUUAAUAGCACCAUUCAUGGGAAUAAAGAACUCGCUGACGGGGGUCCGCAAGUUAAGAGACUGGAACAAAAAGUGCUGAAGAGGUUUCAGGCAGCUCGCCAGUGUGGAGGGGUUCCUGUGGGACAGGGAGGGCCGGCCCUGUGCUUCCAGUCACCGGAGUCUGGCUCAAGUCCUAGCUCCACCGCCUAAGGGCAGGGUGCCUCUGGGCAGGGAGAGCUGGCUCCUCACCUGGAAGUGAGAUGCUGGCCGUGACACUGGGCCCUUCUGAGCCUUGGCUCCUUACCUGGGAAGCAGAGAUAGUGUUCUAAGCUUGUCAUGAGGAUUAAAGGACAUCGUGUCCCGAGCACGCCUGGCCCAGUUCUUGGUGUGCCAGGAGGGCCUGUGGUAACUGUUUCACCUGCCCGGGCCUGUUGUCUUCCCUUCUGGCCACGGCGUCCCACUGUCUCUCCUCCUGCUCUUCUCCAUAAGAUUUGGGGAUCACCUUACUCUCAAACUCUGAAGAUGAGCACGUAGCCCAGGCCAAAUCAUGGACAGUCCCACACACCCCUGGCCAUAGUGAUUAGUUUCUGGAUGUGCAUGGGACCCAAGCUGGGACAAUCAGAGCCAACUUUAGGAAUGUUAUUGGAACUAUUAGGACAGAGAAAAUCUUUCUUCUGGGUUUCUAAGAGGUCAAGGUUUAAAUGUGGUGCUGCUGGUGGCUGUCUUUGUAUAAAGGAGGGAAGAAUCUGCCAACAGGAGAAGGAAGCCAACAGAGAGAAAAACAAACAUGAGGUGACUGUGUCCUGACCAUUUGACCCCUUGAUCCAGCCAUACCUGAACCCAUCACUCCUUAAACUUCCCAGUUAUCUGAGCCAAUAUAUUCCCUUUUUGCUUUAAGCUAGUCUGAGUUCAGUUUCGGUCUCUUGCAAUCAGAAGAAUCCCCACAGCUCAAUAAAUAUCUUUUUGAAUCUGAAUCUACCUGUGGCCUCAUCCAGAACCAAGAGGCAGGCGGAUGACUGCUCAGUGCCGCCUCCAGCAGUGAGAGUCUGUAAGGAGUCUCUAUUUUCUGGCACGCUGAUUUCCUUUAGGCCUCGCUUGCAGAUAGGCAAGCAAAAUAGUGAGAGGAGAAAAAAGAAAGCGGUUAUAGAGUGAAACCGAUUGGGCUCAAAUCCCUUCUUGGUCAUUUAUUAGCUCUGAGACCUUGGGCCAAUGACUUCUUCUCUGUGACCCUCUGUUUUCCCUCCUGUGGAAGGGGAUAACAGUGCCACCUUUGAGGGGCAGUGGAUAUGGGUGCUAGAUUCUGAAGUCAGCGUGAAAGCAAAGGUACCCAUGAGAAUCCCUUAGACUCGCCCCCCUCCAGGAGGAAGGGCACCACACAAGUCUCAGCAAGUCGCCACGGCCCAGCCCCUGCUUCCCCCUCCUUGCACCCAUCACUUCUUCUGCUGUUGAGCACCAGGUGAGGUGGUUGACGUGGGUCUUGAAACCCAAAAAUACGCAUUUGAAACUCUAGAGCAGUGGUUCUCAACUAGGGUGAUUUUGCCCCCAGGGGACAUUCAGCAAUGGAGACAUUUUUGGUUGUCACACAUGGGAGGGGGUGUUACUGGCAUCCAGUGGGUGGA